UAUGGAGAGUUUGAUCCUGGCUCAGAGUGAACGCUGGCGGCGUGCCUAAUACAUGCAAGUCGAACGAUGAAGCUUUUAGCUUGCUAGAAGUGGAUUAGUGGCGCACGGGUGAGUAAGGUAUAGUUAAUCUGCCCUACACUGGGGGACAACACUUAGAAAUGAGUGCUAAUACCCCAUACUCCUAUUUAGCAUAAGUUAGAUAGGGAAAGUUUUUCGGUGUAGGAUGAGACUAUAUAGUAUCAGCUAGUUGGUAAGGUAAAGGCUUACCAAGGCUAUGACGCUUAACUGGUCUGAGAGGAUGAUCAGUCACACUGGAACUGAGACACGGUCCAGACUCCUACGGGAGGCAGCAGUAGGGAAUAUUGCGCAAUGGGGGAAACCCUGACGCAGCAACGCCGCGUGGAGGAUGACACUUUUCGGAGCGUAAACUCCUUUUCUUUGGGAAGAAUUUUGACGGUACCAAAGGAAUAAGCACCGGCUAACUCCGUGCCAG
rnacentral:rRNA from 1 species